rnacentral:rRNA from 1 species
GUGCCAGCCGCCGCGGUAACACGGGGGGCGCAAGCGUUAUUCGGAAUUAUUGGGCGUAAAGGGCGCGUAGGCGGUCUUGUCGGUCAGGUGUGAAAGCCCGGGGCUCAACCCCGGAAUUGCACUUGAAACAGCAAGACUUGAGUACUGGAGAGGAAAGCGGAAUUCCUGGUGUAGAGGUGAAAUUCAUAGAUAUCAGGAGGAACACCGAUGGCGAAGGCAGCUUUCUGGACAGAUACUGACGCUGAGGCGCGAAGGCGUGGGUAGCGAACGGGAUUAGAUACCCCCGUAGUCCC